UACGUAGGGACCGAGCGUUGUCCGGAAUCAUUGGGCGUAAAGAGCGUGUAGGCGGUUUGGUAGGUCCGCUGUGAAAACUCGAGGCUCAACCUCGAGACGCCGGUGGAAACCAUCAGACUAGAGUCCGGAAGAGGAGAGUGGAAUUCCUGGUGUAGCGGUGAAAUGCGCAGAUAUCAGGAAGAACACCGGUGGCGAAGGCGGGUCUCUGGGAAGUAACUGACGCUGAGAAGCGAAAGCAUGGGUAGCAAACAGG
rnacentral:rRNA from 1 species